GACGUAGGGCGCGAGCGUUGUCCGGAAUCAUUGGGCGUAAAGCGCGCGUAGGUGGCCUCGUAAGUCCGCUGUGAAAGUCCAAGGCUCAACCUUGGAAAGGCGGUGGAAACUGAAGCGCUAGAGUGCGGUAGGGGUAGAGGGAAUUCCCGGUGUAGCGGUGAAAUGCGUAGAGAUCGGGAAGAACAUCGGUGGCGAAAGCGCUCUACUGGACCGCAACUGACACUCAGGGACGAAAGCUAGGGGAGCGAAUGGG
rnacentral:rRNA from 1 species